AGAUUUUGAGAGCAGCCAGUCCAGACUGCAGCAAGGGGAGAGAGAGCUCCAGGAAGGAUAUCUUCCAAAAAAGGGUUUACGCUGGCAGAACAUAUGGAGAGGAGAUUUCCAUUUCUGAAGCAGGGUUUGGGAUGAUUUCAGUAGAGGCUGAUAGGCAGAAGUGACGUGCCUUGUGUCAGAUGAGACUUUGGACUUGGACUUUUGAGUUAAUGCUGGAAUGAGUUAAGACUUUGGGGGACCAUUGGGAAGGCAUGAUUGUGUUUUAAAAUGUGAGAAGGACAUGAGAUUUGGGAAGGGGCAGUGGUAGAACGAUUUGGUUUGGCUUUGUGUCCCCACCCAAAUCUCACGUUGAGUUGUAAUCCCUAGUGUUGGAGGUGGGGCGUGGUGGGAAGUGAUUGGAUCAUGGGGUGAUUUCUAGUGGUUUAGCAUCAUUCCCCUAGUGCUGUCUUAUGAUAGAAUUCUCACAAGAUCUGGUUGCUUAAAAGUGUAUGACACUUUCCCCUUCUCUCUCUCUUUCUCUCUUUCUCUCUCUCCUGCCACCAUGUGAAGACAUGCUUGCUUCCCCUUUGUCCUUCUGCCAUGAUUGUGAGUUUCCUGAGGCCUCCCCAACCAUGCAUCCUGC
rnacentral:lncRNA from 1 species